CAGCAGCCGCGGGAAUACGGAGGGUGCAAGCGUUAAUCGGAAUUACUGGGCGUAAAGCGUGCGUAGGUGGUGGUUUAAGUCCGUUGUGAAAGCCCUGGGCUCAACCUGGGAAUUGCAGUGGACACUGGGUCACUAGAGUGUGGUAGAGGAUAGUGGAAUUUCCGGUGUAGCAGUGAAAUGCGUAGAGAUCGGAAGGAACAUCUGUGGCGAAGGCGACUAUCUGGGCCAACACUGACACUGAGGCACGAAAGCGUGGGGAGCAAACAGGAUUAGAUACCCCUGUAGUCCCUGUCUCUUAUAC
rnacentral:rRNA from 1 species